rnacentral:rRNA from 1 species
GAGUCUUCUUAACUCUGUCUUGUAGUCGCGACUUACGAUAUGCCUAAUGGCGCCUGAAUUAUCCCCUGACGGGCCUUUAAUGCCUAGGAAUCUGCCUGUAAAAGGGGGACAACGUUUCGAAAGGAACGCUAAUACCGCAUACGUCCUACGGGAGAAAGCAGGGGACCUUCGGGCCUUGCGCUAUCAGAUGAGCCUAGGUCGGAUUAGCUAGUUGGUGGGGUAAUGGCUCACCAAGGCGACGAUCCGUAACUGGUCUGAGAGGAUGAUCAGUCACACUGGAACUGAGACACGGUCCAGACUCCUACGGGAGGCAGCAGUGGGGAAUAUUGGACAAUGGGCGAAAGCCUGAUCCAGCCAUGCCGCGUGUGUGAAGAAGGUCUUCGGAUUGUAAAGUACUUUAAGUUGGGAGGAAGGGCAGUAGACUAAUACCUUGCUGUUUUGACGUUACAGACCGAAUAAGCACCGGCUAACUCUGUGCCAGCAGCCGCGGUAAUACAGAGGGUGCAAGCGUUAAUCGGAAUUACAGGUCGUAAAGAGCGCGCACGUCGUGUGCUAAGCCGCAUGAAAAAGCUUCAGUUUCAACCUGGCAGCUGCAUCCCACACUGGCUCGAUAGAGUGCGGUAGAUGGGGGAGUAAUUUUCUCGUGUAUCCGUGCAGCUGCGUAGAUAUCGUUAAGGGGCAUCGAGCUGCCGAGGUAGACUACUCCGGACUGCUCCUCCAACGCUUAUCGUGCCCAAAGCUGUGAGGUAUCAAUCCAGAGUAGACACCCUCCGCCAGUCGACGUCGCUACCGAUGUUACCUAGUCUACCGCAUACCUAGGAAUUUCAAUCGACGCCCGCCUCACGAACUCUAGCUGACCGACCUCUGGGAUGCAGUCCCAGUGAAACCUCGGAUUUAUCUAUCGAAUUCAGCACACACCGUGGGCGCUUGGUCCAGUAGAAUGCACUAACGAGCUCCUCUGCUGAACUGCGCUGCUAGUCCUAGUAGCGUGCUCUUCUGCGAGCGAU